CCUACGGGAGGCAGCAGUGAGGAAUAUUGGUCAAUGGACGAGAGUCUGAACCAGCCAAGUAGCGUGAAGGAUGACUGCCCUAUGGGUUGUAAACUUCUUUUAUAUGGGAAUAAAACGUUCCACGUGUGGGAUUUUGUAUGUACCAUAUGAAUAAGGAUCGGCUAACUCCGUGCCAGCAGCCGCGGUAAUACGGAGGAUCCGAGCGUUAUCCGGAUUUAUUGGGUUUAAAGGGAGCGUAGGUGGAUUGUUAAGUCAGUUGUGAAAGUUUGCGGCUCAACCGUAAAAUUGCAGUUGAAACUGGCAGUCUUGAGUACAGUAGAGGUGGGCGGAAGUCGUGGUGUAGCGGUGAAAUGCUUAGAGAUCACGAAGAACUCCGAUUGCGAAGGCAGUUCACUGGACUGCAACUGACACUGAGGCUCGAAAGUGUGGGUAUCAAACAGGAUUAGAUACCCCUGUAGUC
rnacentral:rRNA from 1 species